rnacentral:rRNA from 1 species
UACGUAGGGGGCAAGCGUUGUCCGGAUUUACUGGGCGUAAAGAGCGUGUAGGCGGCCACGCAGGUCCGUUGUGAAAACUGGAGGCUCAACCUCCAGCUGUCGACGGAAACCGUGUGGCUAGAGUCCGGAAGAGGAGAGUGGAAUUCCUGGUGUAGCGGUGAAAUGCGCAGAUAUCAGGAGGAACACCGAUAGCGAAGGCAGCUCGCUGGGACGGUACUGACGCUGAGGCGCGAAAGCGUGGGGAGCGAACAGG